ACGAACGCUGGCGGCGUGCUUAACACAUGCAAGUCGAACGGAAAGGCCCUGCUUUUGUGGGGUGCUCGAGUGGCGAACGGGUGAGUAACACGUGAGUAACCUGCCCUUGACUUUGGGUUAACUUCAGGAAACUGGGGCUAAUACCGGAUAGGCGUUCCUGCUGCAUGGUGGGGGUUGGAAAGUUUCGGCGGUUGGGGAUGGACUCGCGGCUUAUCAGCUUGUUGGUGGGGUAGUGGCUUACCAAGGCUUUGACGGGUAGCCGGCCUGAGAGGGUGACCGGCGACAUGGGGACUGAGAUACGGCCCAGACUCCUACGGGAGGCAGCAGUGGGGAGUAUUGCACAAUGGGCGGAAGCCUGAUGCAGCAACGCCGCGUGCGGGAUGACGGCCUUCGGGUUGUAAACCGCUUUCGCCUGUGACGAAGCGUGAGUGACGGUAAUGGGUGAAGAAGCACCGGCUAACUACGUG
rnacentral:rRNA from 1 species